rnacentral:rRNA from 1 species
GACGAACGCUGGCGGCGUGCCUAAUACAUGCAAGUCGAGCGAACCUGCAGGAGCUUGCUCCUGUUGGUUAGCGGCGGACGGGUGAGUAACACGUGGGCAACCUGCCUGUAAGACUGGGAUAACACCGGGAAACCGGUGCUAAUACCGGAUAAUCUUUUUCCUCUCAUGAGGAAAAACUGAAAGACGGUUUCGGCUGUCACUUACAGAUGGGCCCGCGGCGCAUUAGCUAGUUGGUGAGGUAACGGCUCACCAAGGCGACGAUGCGUAGCCGACCUGAGAGGGUGAUCGGCCACACUGGGACUGAGACACGGCCCAGACUCCUACGGGAGGCAGCAGUAGGGAAUCUUCCACAAUGGACGAAAGUCUGAUGGAGCAACGCCGCGUGAGCGAUGAAGGCCUUCGGGUCGUAAAGCUCUGUUGUUAGGGAAGAACAAGUACCGGAGUAACUGCCGGUACCUUGACGGUACCUAACCAGAAAGCCACGGCUAACUACGUGCCAGCAGCCGCCGUAAGAC